UCUUUCCACUGAUGUAUUGCAUGUAUAUCUGUGUAUAGGCUUGUGGUAGAGUUUAGAAUGUCCAUGUCAAUCAUCAGUUCUGAAGAUUGAUUGGCCAGUUAAU